rnacentral:lncRNA from 1 species
GUGGCCCCCCUCGCGGGAGGACCGGCGGCGGCGGUGGGGGGGGGGGCGGCGAUCGAUCGAUCUAUUGAUCGAUGUAUUGAUCGAUCGGGCGAUCGACCGGGCGUAUUCGCUCGCGGCUUGGAGGGGGCGGAGCGAGGGCGGCAGGGGCGGGUCCGGACCCCCACCCGCCGGGGGGGAUUCAUUCAUUCAUUCACCCAUUCAUUCAUUCAUUCGUCUUUACCGAGCGCCCACGGUGUGCGGAGCACUGGGCUGAGCGCUGGGGAGAGUCCAGUGGGGCAGCAGAAAGAGACCGUCCCCGCCCCACAGCGGCCUCACGGGCUAGAAGGCGGGGACGGACAAGACGGAACAAGGAGACAGGCUUCCGUAGCCUCUGCAGAAAUCAAUAAGCUGAUUGAUAGAUAUUCAUUCAUUCAGUUGUGUUUAUCGAGCGCUUCCCGGGUGCGGAGCACUGGGCUGAGCGCUGGGGAGAGUCCAGUUGGGCCGCAGAGAGGGACCGUCCCCGCCCUACAGAGGCCUCAUGGGCUAGAAGAGGGGGACGGACAAGACGGAACAAGGAGACAGGCUUCCCUAGCCUCUGCAGAAAUCAAUAGAUUGAUUGAUAGAUAUUCAUUCAUUCAGUUGGGUUUACUGAGCGUUUACUGUGUGCGGAGCACUGGGCUGAGCGCUGGGGACAGGACAGUGGGGCCGCAGAGAGGGACCGUCCCCGCCGCACAGCGGCCUCACGGACUAGAAGCGGGUGGAGACGGACAAUGGGACAGAACAAGUAGACGGGCCUCCGUAGCCUCUACAGAAAUCAAUAGAUUGAUUGAUAGAUAUUCAUUCAUUCAGUUGGGUUUAUUGAGCGCUUCCCGUGUGCGGAGCACUGGGCUGAGCGCUGGGGACAGGACAGUUGGGCCGCAGAGAGGGACCGUCCCCGCCCUACGGCGGCCUCACGGACUAGAAGCGGGUGGAGACGGACAAUGGGACAGAACAAGCAGACGGGCCUCCGUAGCCUCUACAGAAAUCAAUAGAUUGAUUGAAAGAUAUUCACCCAUUUAA